UACGUAGGGGGCAAGCGUUGUCCGGAAUCAUUGGGCGUAAAGCGCGUGUAGGCGGCCCGAUAAGUCCGCUGUGAAAGUCCAGGGCUCAACCCUGGGAUGCCGGUGGAUACUGUCGGGCUCGAGUCCGGAAGAGGCGAGUGGAAUUCCUGGUGUAGCGGUGAAAUGCGUAGAUAUCUGGAGGAAUACCGGUGGCGAAGGCGGCAUCCUGGACCGGCAUUGACGCUGAGGAGCGAAAGCUAGGGGAGCAAACGGG
rnacentral:rRNA from 1 species